CAGCAGCCGCGGGAAUACGUAGGUGGCGAGCGUUGUCCGGAAUUAUUGGGCGUAAAGGGAGCGCAGGCGGACAUAUAAGUCCAUCUUAAAAGUGCGGGGCUCAACCCCGUGAGGGGAUGGAAACUGUAUGCCUUGAGUGCAGGAGAGGAAAGCGGAAUUCCCAGUGUAGCGGUGAAAUGCGUAGAUAUUGGGAGGAACACCAGUGGCGAAGGCGGCUUUCUGGACUGUAACUGACGCUGAGGCUCGAAAGCCAGGGGAGCGAACGGGAUUAGAUACCCCCGUAGUCCCUGUCUCUUAUACA
rnacentral:rRNA from 1 species